CCUCUGUCUCACAGCCGUGGUGAGGCACAUUUUUCAGGUCUGAGAACACCCCAGAGAACUUUGAACACAUCUACUAACUUCAAAGCAAGAAACUCAAGAGACUUGCAACAUAUCUUGCUUCCAUGGCCUAAACAGUAUAAUCAGUGACUUUAUCCAGGACUGCACGAUAAUGUUCAUGUUCGCUGGGGAAUAGAGCAUAACGAUUUUUACACAGCGGCACCAUCAUGUUUUAAUCCUGCAUACUCCACAAAUAUCAGCCUAGGUCUUCUGCUUUUUUUAUGCCAACCAGAAAAAAGAAAGGAAGGAAAAGAAAUUUGUUUAAAAAUGCAGACGGAAGGAAAAUUCCAAUAGCAUUUUAUUCCAUAAGUAAUGCCAUUAAAGUUGUUUGGGUUCCACACAAAUAGAAGGACUGAGAUAUAGGAGACUGAGACAUCAAUUAGGUGAUUAUGGGAUACAAUUAAUGAAAAUGAUUCUGAGAGAAUGAGACUGAACACAGUCAAUAUAUACAUCAAAGGUAAAUCCAGAAUCAAGAGGAAGUGCUAUUUUUGAUUUCUCAGAAAACAAUAUUCUCUACUUAUAUGUUGCCAUUUAACUAAACGAUCUCAGUGUGCUUUUCAACGUAUUAUGCCCAUUUCCCAGAAGGGGUCAUAAAUGCACAGAGAAGUUAUAGCCUUCAUUUUCAACGAUCCACUUAUUUUAAGUGCUUAAUUUGAGACACUUGGGGCCUAGUUUUCAGAGGUGUUGAGCACUCACAACUCCAGUUGAAGUCCAUUGGAAUUCUGGGUACUCACACCUCGGCAAAUUAUAAAGGAUUGUUGAAACAUGUCCUUUCCACUGGAGAAAGCACUGGAGGGUAUGCUGAAGGAAAUAGUCUUCCAUGGACAGGGGACAGACAAGAUGCCCUAAUAGAAAGACAAGAGUAUGCAACAGGGCGAAAAAACAAUGAUAGCAACCACAUAGAAAAAGGAAACCAAAGUCACACUGGACACAG